UCGUGAAGUUCUUUGGGGGGGGUGGGGUGGGGACGGGUCAUGGUCAGGGGGGGAAAAAAAGGGUAAUACAGUUGGGGACCGCCCCCUCUUGCGUCUACGGUCUCGCAUGGUACUCAUACAUUGACGUUUUCGAAUCAAUGUUUUUGAUUGUUUCCUUUUAUUGUUUUUUUUUAUUCUCGACCUCGUUGGGAACUAGGAGCGUUUCUUUUUAGCUCCGCUGGGAGGUCUCUCUGAUUAGCUAGUUGGCGGGGUAAAGGCCCACCAAGGCGACCAUCAGUAGCCGGUCUGAGAGGAUGAACGGCCACACUGGGACUGAGACACGGGGGCGCCCUCCUACGGGAGGCAUUUUUUUGGAAUCUUCCGCAAUGGGAGGAAAAUUUUACCCACCAACGCCCGCGUGGGUGAGAAGCCUUCGGGUCGUAAAACCCUGUCAGAUGGGAAGAAACCUGCGCAAGCAGCUGACGGUAGCAUCAGAGGAAGCACCGGCUAACUCCGUGCCAGCAGCCGCGGUAAUACAGAGGGUGCAAGCGUUGUUCGGAAUUACUGGGCGUAAAGGGCGCGUAGGCGGUCGACCAAGUCUGAUGUGAAAGCCCGGCGCUCAACCCCGGAAGUGCAUUGGAAACUGGUCGACUUGAGUUCGGGAGAGGAGGGCAGAAUUCCCGGUGUAGGGGUGAAAUCCGUAGAUAUCGGGAGGAAAACCAGUGGCGAAGGCGGCCCUCUGGAACGUGACUGACGCUGAGGCGCGAAAGCGUGGGGAGCAAACAGGAUUAGAGACCCUGGUAGUCCACGCUGUAAACGAUGGAUGCUAGGUGUAGGGGUCAUCACGGACUUCUGGUGCCGCAGCUAACGCGAUAAGCAUCCCGCCUGGGGAGUACGGUCGCAAGACUAAAACUCAAAGGAAUUGACGGGGGCCUGCACAAGCGGUGGAGUAUGUGGUUUAAUUCGACGCAACGCGCAGAACCUUACCUGGGUUUGACAUCCCGCGCCAUCCACAGAGAUGUGGAGUUCCUUCGGGACGCGGAGACAGGUGCUGCAUGGCUGUCUCAGCUCGUGUCGUGAGAUGUUGGGUUAAGUCCCGCAACGAGCGCAACCCCUGUCCCAUGUUGCCAUCGGGUAAUGCCGGGCACUCUUGGGAGACUGCCGGUGUCAAACCGGAGGAAGGUGGGGAUGACGUCAAGUCCUCAUGGCCCUUAUGCCCAGGGCUACACACGUACUACAAUGGCCGGUACAAAGAGACGCGAGCCCGCGAGGGGGAGCAAAUCUCAAAAAGCCGGUCUCAGUUCGGAUUGGAGUCUGCAACUCGACUCCAUGAAGGCGGAAUCGCUAGUAAUCGCGGAUCAGCAUGCCGCGGUGAAUCCGUUCCCGGGCCUUUUAUACGCCUCCCUACAGGGCCAUGAGAGUCGCUUGUACCAGAAGUCCGUGGCCCCAUCGCAACCGCGGAAUUCGAUUAGGAGUUAGGGGG
rnacentral:rRNA from 1 species